rnacentral:Y_RNA from 1 species
GACUAGUCCAAGUGCCGUCAUGUUUACAACUGAUUGAUCACAAGAAAUCGCAAAUUUCUUUGUUCCUUCUCCACUCUCACUGCUUCAUUUGACUAGCCUUAA